rnacentral:rRNA from 16 species
GAUAGACCGAACCCGUGUAUGUGGCAAAAUACUGGGAUGAUGCGUGAUUAGGGGUGAAAGGCCAAUCAAAUUCAGAUAUAGCUGGUUUUCUGCGAAAAUUAUUUAAGUAAUGUAUUAAAAAUUAUAUAAAUAUGGGUGUAGAGCACUUGCUGGAUGAGGGGGG